UGCAGUCGCACGGAUUGGGUAGCAAUACCCAGUUAGUGGCGAACGGGUGAGUAAUGAAUCGCUAAUGUGCCCCGGACUCUGGGAUAGCCAGUCGAAAGACUGGGUAAUACCAGAUGAUAUAACUUUGUCGCAUGACAGAGUUCUCAAAGGUCCGCCGGUCUGGGAGCAGGCGAUUUCGUAUCAGCUAGUUGGUGAGGUAACGGCUCACCAAGGCGACGACGCGUAGCCGGACUGAGAGGUUGGCCGGCCACAUUGGGACUGAGACACUGCCCAGACUCCUACGGGGGGCUGCAGUAACGAAUCUUCCGCAAUGCACGAAAGUGUGACGGAGCGACGCCGCGUGUGGGACGAAGCCCUUCGGGGUGUAAACCACUGUCAGGGGUAAGAAAGUUCUGAUCUACCCCAGAGGAAGGCACGGCUAACUCUGUGCCAGCAGCCGCGGUAAGACAGAGGUGCCGAGCGUUAGGCGGAAUCACUGGGCUUAAAGCGUGUGUAGGCGGAGUGCUAAGUACCUUGUGAAAUCCCACGGCUUAACCGUGGAACUGCUGGGUAUACUGGUUCUCUUGAGCCACCUAGGGGCGAGCGGAACAAGUGGUGGAGCGGUGAAAUGCGUAGAUAUCACUUGGAACGCCAAUGGUGAAAACAGCUCGCUGGGGGUGUGCUGACGCUGAGACACGAAAGCCAGGGGAGCGAACGGGAUUAGAUACCCCGGUAGUCCUGGCCGUAAACGAUGUCGACUAGAUCGCAGUGGCUCUGACGCUAUUGCGGUCGAAGCAAAAGUGCUAAGUCGACCGCCUGGGAAGUACGGUCGCAAGGCUAAAACUCAAAGGAAUUGAC
rnacentral:rRNA from 1 species